rnacentral:rRNA from 1 species
UUGGUGAACCAGCGGAGGGAUCAUUACCGAGUUUACAACUCCCAAACCCCUGUGAACAUACCACUUGUUGCCUCGGCGGAUCAGCCCGCUCCCGGUAAAACGGGACGGCCCGCCAGAGGACCCCUAAACUCUGUUUCUAUAUGUAACUUCUGAGUAAAACCAUAAAUAAAUCAAAACUUUCAACAACGGAUCUCUUGGUUCUGGCAUCGAUGAAGAACGCAGCAAAAUGCGAUAAGUAAUGUGAAUUGCAGAAUUCAGUGAAUCAUCGAAUCUUUGAACGCACAUUGCGCCCGCCAGUAUUCUGGCGGGCAUGCCUGUUCGAGCGUCAUUUCAACCCUCAAGCACAGCUUGGUGUUGGGACUCGCGUUAAUUCGCGUUCCUCAAAUUGAUUGGCGGUCACGUCGAGCUUCCAUAGCGUAGUAGUAAAACCCUCGUUACUGGUAAUCGUCGCGGCCACGCCGUUAAACCCCAACUUCUGAAUGUUGACCUCGGAUCAGGUAGGAAUACCCGCUGAACUUAAGCAUAUCA